rnacentral:rRNA from 1 species
AUGGUACAGAGACUGAAAGCAAAUUUAGAACAUGCCCAAAGCAGAAUCAAGUAUUUUGCUGAUCAGAACAGAACUGAAAGAUCCUUUCAAGUGGGAGACAAUGUGUAUUUAAAGAUACAACCUUACAGACAAAAUGCAUUUGGACUGAGAGGCUCAUUGAAACUCAGAUCCAAAUUCUACGGUCCAUACAUGAUCAUUGAAAGAAUUGGAGAGGUAUCUUACAAGUUGGCUUUGCCUGCAGGAACGAACAUACACCCAGUAUUCCACAUAAGUCAACUCAAGAAACACAUUGGACAUCAAGCAAUUCCACUUCCUCAUGUUCCACUAGUUACUCCGGAAGGUUACAUCAAGACUAUUCCGGUGGCAGUGCUCGACAGGCGAGUGAUUCAGAGGAACAAAACUCUAGUGGGACAGUGUCUGCUGCAAUGGGAAAGCUUAGCGCCAGAUGAUGCAACUUGGGAAGACGCAACAUUUCUGAACAAGACUUUUCCAGGUCACAAGCUUUUUCACCAUGGGGACAAGGCGGUCGUCAUGGCGGCGGCAUUGCCAGGGCCUGAACCCAGACGGUAUUGA